GACGAACGCUGGCGGCGUGCCUAACACAUGCAAGUCGAACGAAGCAUAUUUUCGGAUAUGCUUAGCGGCGGACGGGUGAGUAACACGUGGGUAACCUGCCUCAUAGAGGGGAAUAGCCUUUCGAAAGGAAGAUUAAUACCGCAUAAGAUUGUAGUGCCGCAUGGCAUAGCAAUUAAAGGAGUAAUCCGCUAUGAGAUGGACCCGCGUCGCAUUAGCUAGUUGGUGAGGUAACGGCUCACCAAGGCGACGAUGCGUAGCCGACCUGAGAGGGUGAUCGGCCACAUUGGGACUGAGACACGGCCCAGACUCCUACGGGAGGCAGCAGUGGGGAAUAUUGCACAAUGGGGGAAACCCUGAUGCAGCAACGCCGCGUGAGUGAUGACGGUCUUCGGAUUGUAAAGCUCUGUCUUCAGGGACGAUAAUGACGGUACCUGAGGAGGAAGCCACGGCUAACUACGUG
rnacentral:rRNA from 1 species